ACUAUAAACUCAUUGACGGAGACGGUAAAAUUUUUAUUAUAACCAAGCUAGUAAAUAAGGUAAAAAUUUAAGGGUCGGGAUGUGACAUUAUUUCUUUUUCUUUGUCGUUGUAUACGUUUCCAUUCUCUUCUGCCGAAGCAGGUAAGCCAAGUGCCAAGUUUUCUCUCUUUAAUCUGCAGGUAUGAUUCUUAAUUAUAUCGGUCAUCCUCUUAAAGGGUCUUGUACGUGUCAUAUGACCUAGUUCUCAAAUCUCAAUUGAUUAAUAAUGUCUUGAUCAAAUUUAGUUCCAAUAUCCCAUCAUCUCAAAUCUCAAUUGAUUAAUGCCUUGAUAGUCUCAAUAUCUCAUCAUCCCAUCACACUGUAUUUCUAUUGAUAUUCUAAUUCUAAUCUCAAUAUAUUACUUGCUUACUAAUUCUAAGCCAAGUGUCAAGUUUUCUCUCUUUAAUCUGUAGGUAUGAUUCUUAGUUAUAUCGGUCAUCCUCUUGAAGUCUUGUACGUGUCAUAUGACCUUGUUCUCAAAUCUCAAUUGAUUAAUGCUUUGAUCAAAUUUAGUCGCAAUAUCUCAUCAUCUCAAAUUUCAAUUGAUUAAUGUCUUGAUAGUCUCAAUAUCUCAUCAUCCCAUCGCACUGUAUUUCUAUUAAUAUUCUAAUUCUAUUAUCAAUUGCUUACUUACUAAUUCUAAACCAAGUGUCAAACUUUAUCUAUUUAAUCUGCAUGUAUGAUUAUUAGUUAUAUUGGUCAUUCUCUUGGAGUCUUGUACGUGUCAUAUGACCUAGUUCUCAAAUCUCAAUUGAUUAAUGUUUUGAUCCAAUUUAGUCCCAAUAUCUCAUCAUCUCAAAUCUCAUGUGUAUCAGCAAGAGGGGCUAAUCCGAACGUGGUUUGUCUCCAUUCAAUUGAGAGGGAAGCCCCCGGGACGCUACGGUGCCUUAGCUGGUUCCCGAUCCUCCUUCAAAAGUGGGAAAGAGAGGCGGAAGGCGCCCCUUCCAAACAAUGAAAAAAAUCCGAGGAACUUCGAAGCUUAUAGGGCCUCCUCUUGUAAGCUAGCUCCAUUCGAUCGAUCGCUUCCGUUCAUAAUAGAUUGGUUGUGAAUUAAUUGAUUAAUGCCUUGAUAGUCUCAAUAUCCCAUCAUCCUAUCACACUGUAUUUCUAUUGAUAUUCUAAUUAUAAUCUCAAUUGCUUGCUUAUUUUAUUGUAGAUAACUAAUGCUUUUGAUGUGUAUAUAUAUAGAUAUAUAGUUGUAAUAGUACCAACAUUUGAUUCAUAGUUAUUAGAUUGUGUUUUUCCGUCCUGUUAGGUUUAAGGAUUAUACACUCGUUUACUGUAUUGUUAGAGCGGUGAUUGUGUGCUUAGUUAUUAGAUUUUGCUUCUAUUCAAGAGCGUAUGGUUCAAUUUGAGUAUGUUUGUUCUUUUAUCUUUAGCUUUUGUUAUCGAAUUUCUAUAAAAUGUUAAAAUAUUAAUUUCUUAAUGAUCAGUUAACUACGUGAUUAUUUGAUAUGUUUUUAAUCUAAAAUGUGAUAUGUAAAAUAUAGAAGAAAAAAAAAUAAAACAAUUUUAAGAAAAAAAUUUCAGUCCACCCCAACCUAAAAUCCUAGGUCCAACAUUGUGUGUGUGUGUAUAUAUUUAUAUAUACAGUCCGUUUCAGAUACGAACGUCCACACCGUAAACGGUGCGGACGUCCGCACCUGAUAACUGUUGUGUAUAUAUAUAUAUAUAUAUAUCAUGAAAUUAGAUUAAUUUAUAAUUAAUUUGAUCAAGAGAUUAACGUAAUCUUGUAAGGCUAUAACAUAUUCGAUCCUAUAAUGCAGUUCAUUGCAUUUAUAACUAGUACUGUCUAUGCAGCUUGUAAUCACAAGGAAGUAAAAGCUAGCGUCAGAGAUAGAUAGCGAAUUAGGGCUCUCUUGCAUACCCAAGAUGAAUUACCUACCCUACCUGGUCAUUGUUUGCCCAUAAUGCAACUCGAUCGAACACGGAACCAAAUUUGCCAACCAUCAAAUUUGGUGGUCANNNNN
rnacentral:lncRNA from 1 species